GAUGAACGCUAGCUACAGGCUUAACACAUGCAAGUCGAGGGGAAACGGCAUUUAGUGCUUGCACUGAAUGGACGUCGACCGGCGCACGGGUGAGUAACGCGUAUCCAACCUUCCCAUUACUGUGGGAUAACCUGCCGAAAGGCAGACUAAUACCGCAUAGUCUUCGAUGACGGCAUCAGAUUUGAAGUAAAGAUUUAUCGGUAAUGGAUGGGGAUGCGUCUGAUUAGCUUGUUGGCGGGGUAACGGCCCACCAAGGCAACGAUCAGUAGGGGUUCUGAGAGGAAGGUCCCCCACAUUGGAACUGAGAUACGGUCCAAACUCCUACGGGAGGCAGCAGUGAGGAAUAUUGGUCAAUGGGCGCGAGCCUGAACCAGCCAAGUAGCGUGCAGGAUGACGGCCCUAUGGGUUGUAAACUGCUUUUGUAUGGGGAUAAAGUCAAUCACGUGUGAUUGUUUGCAGGUACCAUACGAAUAAGGACCGGCUAAUUCCGUGCCAGCAGCCGCGGUAAUACGGAAGGUCCGGGCGUUAUCCGGAUUUAUUGGGUUUAAAGGGAGCGUAGGCCGGAGAUUAAGUGUGUUGUGAAAUGUAGACGCUCAACGUCUGACUUGCAGCGCAUACUGGUUUCCUUGAGUACGCACAACGUUGGCGGAAUUCGUCGUGUAGCGGUGAAAUGCUUAGAUAUGACGAAGAACUCCGAUUGCGAAGGCAGCUGACGGGAGCGCAACUGACGCUUAAGCUCGAAGGUGCGGGUAUCGAACAGG
rnacentral:rRNA from 1 species